CCUACGGGAGGCAGCAGUGAGGAAUAUUGGUCAAUGGUCGUAAGACUGAACCAGCCAAGUAGCGUGCAGGAUGACGGCCCUAUGGGUUGUAAACUGCUUUUAUGCGGGGAUAAAAUGCGUCACGUGUGGUGUUUUGUAGGUACCGCAUGAAUAAGGACCGGCUAAUUCCGUGCCAGCAGCCGCGGUAAUACGGAAGGUCCGGGCGUUAUCCGGAUUUAUUGGGUUUAAAGGGAGCGUAGGGGGCAUGUUAAGCGUGUCGUGAAAUGCCGUGGCUCAACCAUGGCACUGCGGUGGGAACUGGCUGUCUUGAGUGCGGGGAAGGUAUGCGGAAUUCGUGGUGUAGCGGUGAAAUGCUUAGAUAUCACGAAGAACUCCGAUUGCGAAGGCAGCAUACGGGAGCGCUACUGACGCUGAAGCUCGAAGGCGUGGGUAUCGAACAGGAUUAGAUACCCCAGUAGUC
rnacentral:rRNA from 1 species